AGAACGAACGCUGGCGGCAGGCUUAACACAUGCAAGUCGAGCGCCCCGCAAGGGGAGCGGCAGACGGGUGAGUAACGCGUGGGAACAUACCCUCCGGUUCGGAAUAGCUCAGGGAAACUUGGAUUAAUACCGGAUACGGCCUAGCGGCGAAAGAUUGAUCGCCGGAGGAUUGGCCCGCGUCUGAUUAGCUAGUUGGUGGGGUAAUGGCCCACCAAGGCGACGAUCAGUAGCUGGUCUGAGAGGAUGAUCAGCCACAUUGGGACUGAGACACGGUCCGGACUCCUACGGGAGGCAGCAGUGGGGAAUAUUGGACAAUGGGGGAAACCCUGAUCCAGCGACGCCGCGUGUGUGAAGAGGCCUGCGGGUUGUAAAGCACUUUUAGUGGGGACAAAAGUCACGGGUUAAUACCGCGUGAUCUUGAUUUAACCUACAGAAAAGCACCGGCUAACUCUGCGCCAGCAGCCGC
rnacentral:rRNA from 1 species